AUUCAAACACUACAGCAACAGUUCCAAACGCGGUCCCUGGACCAGCACAGCAGCAGCACCCGGACGCAUGUUAGAAAUGAGCAUUCAGAGGCCUGCCCCAGACCUGCUGAAGCGGACACUCGGGGGCUGGGCCCCAUAGGCUUGUUUGAACAAGACUCUCCAGAAGAUCCCGAUGCCCCCUGGAGUCUGAGAACUCUAGAACACAGAGAAGAUGCAAAAAUUGGUGCAGCUCCAAGCCAGGCUAUUGUGGAUUAUCGGCAAUCUUGCAACCAAUUAGGAUACGGCAUUCUGAUGAGCCACAGAGGCUUAAUAAUUAGUAUAGUAUUUGCAUGCAAGCUGCUUGCUGUGAAUUUGCAUGUAAAUAAAAAUGUGGCUAUCAAAACCAACCAGAAACAGCCCACUGAUGAAAAAUUCUCAAAAGGGUCCAACGUCAAAAAGGAAAAGGCCUGUGAAGGAAAGAGGCUUACAUGUUGUGAUGCUGUAUCUCAUGUUGCCUAUGUCUGCACCAGCCUCAAGAUUCAUCUUUAAAGUAAAAUUUCCGAGGGCAGUCUGUGUUGAAGAAGAUUCAGCCCUGUCCUCCUCCACUGGGGAACCACAUGCACUCUUUUCCAACUUGGUCCAGUCUCCUCAUCUCCUGACUCCAGACCUUGAGGAACCCUCCACAUGGAAAGUCAUCCCAGUUGGAGGAGGCAGGAAAGCCCAGCUCGUGGCAAAAGCCAGGCUCCAGGCUCCGGGCUCCGGGCUCCAGGCUCCAGGUCCAGGCUCCAGGCUCCAGGCUCCGGGCUCCAGGCUCCAGGUCCAGGCUCCAGGAUCCAGGCUCCAGGAUCCAGGCUCCAGACCUGCUGUUGUUCUGCCCCGCCCAGCACGGAGCAGAUGCCAGAUCUUCUCCAAGGCCAGAGGGGGCCGUGGGGCAGGGGUGAGAGGGCAGGAAGCAGUGAUCAGAGUAGGUAUGUGGAGAGGGGCCCUGGGGAGCCCUGCAUACAGCCCAGCCACUCUGAUGGCUCUGGGGGGUCUCUGGCACUGCAGACACCCAACUGCCUUGUGUCACGGGGUUGUGUGCAGUGGCUGGUCUCAUCUCCCUCCCCGGUCCUCCUGGGCUGGGGCCAAGGGGCUCCCCAGCAGCCAUAGGGGUGGUGCAGCUCUGCUCCCUGAGAUACCCCUCUCCCAUGGGCAGUGGUCUCAUCUUGCCACCUGCUGCCCAGGUCCCACUCCAGACAGGUCCAAAUCAGAGCCAUGA
rnacentral:lncRNA from 1 species